GUGGAUGAUCGGGAGGCGCACUCUGGCCCCGCGCCAUUCCCCAGUGACCAGGAGUCUGAGGGGAGAAGAGCCCACUCUGGGGCACUGCAAGCUGGUGUCCUUCCUGCGACCUUUCUGUUCCCGGGGGGCGCAAGGUUGCCUCUAGAAAGCCCCGACUGGCGUCUCCUGGGAAGGUUUCAUAUGCCAACUUGAGGGACAAUGUCUGUGCCUGCAGGGGCCCCUGUCCCCUGAUGCUGUCCACGUGUGGAGGAAGGAGGCAAGGCUGAGCAUGGACCAGGGAGAGGCCUCACCACCUGUGCCUGC
rnacentral:lncRNA from 1 species